rnacentral:rRNA from 1 species
AGUGAACGCUGGCGGCAGGCCUAACACAUGCAAGUCGAGCGGCAGCGGGUUCCCGCGAGGGGAUGCCGGCGAGCGGCGGACGGGUGAGGAACACAUCGGAAUCUGCCUGGUUGUGGGGGAUAACGUAGGGAAACUUACGCUAAUACCGCAUGAGACCCUGAGUCGACGGACUGGGGGUGAAAGUGAGGGACCUUCGGGCCUCACGCGACCAGAUGAGCCGAUGUCGGAUUAGCUAGUUGGCGGGGUAACGGCCCGCCAAGGCGACGAUCCGUAGCUGGUCUGAGAGGAUGAUCAGCCACACCUGGGACUGAGGCACGGCCCAGACUCCUACGGGAGGCAGCAGUGGGGAAUCUUGGACAAUGGGCGCAAGCCUGAUCCAGCCAU